rnacentral:lncRNA from 1 species
ACUCUAGAAUUUUGGUAUGGGCUAGGCAGAGGGUGACCAUAUGACCAGCCUCCAACAUGAAACUCUGGGCAUUGAAUCUCUACUGACCUGCUCAGACAGGGUUUUACUCUAUCACCCAGGCUGGAGUACAGAGGCACCAUCUCAGCUUACUGCAGCCUUGACCUCUCAGGCUCAACAGAUCCUCCCACUUCAGCCUCCUGACUAGCUGGGGCUACAGGCGCGCGCCACCACAUCCGGCACUGGGGAAGAAGCAUUUCUAACAGGAGCCUGCAUGCUGAGGAUGGCAGAGGAAAAAGACAGAGCCAUACUGAGCCCUUGGAGAUGCCACUGAGGAGCUACGCUAACCAAUCCUGGAGGCACCAUAACCUAGGACUUCUUCUUAUACAAGGAUGCUAGAGAGCAGUCUUCAGCCUGAGACCCAUCUCUAGCUUCUAACAACUCAGUAUACUCCUAUGAACAAAAUUUGGAGCAUAUUUGUUUCUCUCUACCUGAUUUCUUCAGACUGUGGAAACUAUUUGAAUCAAACUUGACUUAUGGAUCCAAUAAAGCCCUUGGAAAAACUGGCCUCAUAUUUUGUGUAAACAGUCCCCGUACAGGGUUUCUGACUUGUGAUAAAGUCAAGGCCCAAAGGAGUUCUGUA